CCGUUGGUUUAAAACUUUUUAAAAGAUUUACCCGGUAUAGGAAAAUCAUUGCUAGGAAAAUUCAGCAACGUCAUGUUGCAAACAUAUGUGUAGAAUGCAGCUCCAGAACCAGAAAAGGGAAGGCAGACAAGUGCUAUGGCUACCUUUGUUGUUGGGGCGUGGAGCCACUACGUCCAUCGAUCGAGGCUUCAAUUGAUUGGAACUUUUGUUUUACUGGCUUUACCUUAGCCUUCUCCAUGGAUACUAAACAGAUGGCGAAAAGACCAGGAUUUUUUGCAGUCAUGUUCAACCUCUUAUGCAGCAUUAUAAACAGCAACAGAUUGACUAACAUAAAUGGUAUAAAUAUUCUAAUAAAAUGAUAAAAUAAA